rnacentral:rRNA from 1 species
GACGGGGCCCGCACAAGCGUGGAGUAUGUGGUUUAAUUCGAUGCAACGCGAAGAACCUUACCUGGUCUUGACAUCCCGGAGACCCUUAGGAAACUAGGGGGUGCUUCCAUCUGGAAGAAUCUGGAGACAGGUGCUGCAUGGCUGUCGUCAGCUCGUGUCGUGAGAUGUUGGGUUAAGUCCCGCAACGAGCGCAACCCUUGCCUUUAGUUGCCAGCAGUUCGGCUGGGCACUCUAAAGGGACUGCCGGUGUUAAACCGGAGAAGGUGGGGAUGACGUCAAGUCCUCAUGGCCUUUAUGACCAGGGCUACACACGUACUACAAUGGCCGAUACAAAGGGCAGCGACACUGCGAGGUGAAGCCAAUCCCGUAAAAUCGGUCUCAGUCCGGAUUGGAGUCUGCAACUCGACUCCAUGAAGUUGGAAUCGCUAGUAAUCGUGGAUCAGCAUGCCACGGUGAAUACGUUCCCGGGCCUU